GGACGAACGCUGGCGGCGUGCUUAACACAUGCAAGUCGAACGGGAUCCAAGUGGGCUUGCUUGCUUGGUGAGAGUGGCGAACGGGUGAGUAACACGUGAGUAACCUGCCCCCUUCUUUGGGAUAACGACCAGAAAUGGUUGCUAAUACUGAAUAUUCACGCAUUGUCGCAUGGUGGUGUGUGGAAAGGUUUUUCUGGUGGGGGAUGGGCUCGCGGCCUAUCAGCUUGUUGGUGGGGUGAUGGCCUACCAAGGCUUUGACGGGUAGCCGGCCUGAGAGGGUGACCGGUCACACUGGGACUGAGAUACGGCCCAGACUCCUACGGGAGGCAGCAGUGGGGAAUAUUGCACAAUGGGCGAAAGCCUGAUGCAGCGACGCCGCGUGAGGGAUGACGGCCUUCGGGUUGUAAACCUCUUUCAGUAAGGACGCAGGCCUAGGCUUUUGUUUGGGUUGACUUUACUUACAGAAGAAGCGCCGGCUAACUACGU
rnacentral:rRNA from 1 species